rnacentral:rRNA from 1 species
CCUACGGGAGGCAGCAGUGAGGAAUAUUGGUCAAUGGACGAGAGUCUGAACCAGCCAAGUAGCGUGAAGGAUGACUGCCCUAUGGGUUGUAAACUUCUUUUAUCAAGGAAUAAAACGAGGCACGUGUGCCUUUUUGCAUGUACUUUAUGAAUAAGGAUCGGCUAACUCCGUGCCAGCAGCCGCGGUAAUACGGAGGAUCCGAGCGUUAUCCGGAUUUAUUGGGUUUAAAGGGAGCGUAGAUGGGUUGUUAAGUCAGUUGUGAAAGGUUGCGGCUCAACCGUAAAAUUGCAAUUGAUACUGGCAGUCUUGAGUACAGGUGAGGUAGGCGGAAUUCGUGGUGUAGCGGUGAAAUGCUUAGAUAUCACGAAGAACCCCGAUUGCGAAGGCAGCUUACUAAACUGUGACUGACAUUGAUGCUCGAAAGUGUGGGUAUCAAACAGGAUUAGAUACCCCAGUAGUC